rnacentral:rRNA from 1 species
UACGUAGGUGGCAAGCGUUGUCCGGAUUUAUUGGGUUUAAAGGGUGCGUAGGCGGUUCCUUAAGUCAGUGGUGAAAUACUUCAGCUCAACUGGAGAGGUGCCAUUGAUACUGGGGAACUUGAGUACUGAUGAGGUAGGCGGAAUGGACGGUGUAGCGGUGAAAUGCUUAGAUAUCGUCCAGAACACCGAUAGCGAAGGCAGCUUACUAAAGAGUAACUGACGCUGAGGCACGAAAGUGUGGGGAGUCAAACAGG